CGCCACCAUCGGCGCCUACAUCAACACCACGCACUCGCGGGCUCACGCACAUCAGCCCGCGGCACUACGGCGAGUUCAUCGAGUUCCUGAGCAAGGCGCGCGAGACGUUCCUGAUGGCGCAGGACGGCCACAUCCAGUUCGCCCAGUUCAUAGACAACCUCAAGCAGAUCUACAAGGGCAAGAAGAAGCUCAUGAAUCUGGUGAGGGAGCGGUUCGGUUGACGGGUCGACGGGCUGGUGUAUGUUUUCACUUGAAUCCCCUCGUCCCCCCCCUCCCCAUCUCCUUCCCCACUUGGUUCAGAAGUAGAUGGGGAUUCCUGCCGUCGAGAUCUGCCGUUCAGACAGCCAGAACCGGGUUUCCACCGCGGUGGAGAAGGGAGCGUGUGAUGCUUGCUCCACAGAAAGCAUGCGUUCACAUAGUGGAGCGCAGGUGGGGACCAUAAACCAUGGUUUAAAGAGUCUUCUGAGCAACAAGCCCUGGAUCAGAGACUUACAGCCGACAGCAUUCCCCAGGCGGCCAUCUUGGUUCUAAGGAGGACCAAAGAUGGCCACUAUGUGAAUAUGGCCCAUAGCGCUCUGUUUUUAAAGGAAAAUUCCACUGGUGGGCCAUCCUCUAUUCGUAGAUGUAAUAUGUCCACCAGUCUACCCGUAAUAACUUGGAAUGGCACAGCUACUGCUUUCUGCUUCACCCUGGACUACAACAAGUCCACUAUUACUACUUCAGUGUCUGCUAUGCUAGCUAGCAAGGUGGCUAAUGUGUCUGUUGUCGUUUUUUCCAAGCUCUUCCUGAAUCAACAGCGAUUUACAACUCUACUCUUUACUUUUUUUUUUACCCUUAUAGUGCAACUACCAGUUUUGUUGUUGAUUUGCUUGCCAGACUAAAAGGGGAACCUUAAACAUGUAUGCCUUUUCUGUUGAACAAGCUAAUGUUGCUUGACAGUGGAAUUUCUCUUUAAAUACAAUUUUUACCUUUAAAACUACAGUAUAACAUGGGUACAGUAAAACUGGUUUCUUGUCCUUUGUCGGCCAUUAAAGGAAAACUUGUUUAGGCCCAAGAAAUGUAUAUUUGCCUCCUCUGUAGUGAUACAGACUUUGUGCAGGGCAGAAAGUAACUGUUUAGGUCUUGACUGUUCAGCUUUUUAUAGCCUACUGUAUAUGGUCCAUGAUUUAUUUUUCAUUUGUUUGGCUGCUUUAAAAUAACCAAAUGACCAUUUGUAACUACCAAACCUUGUUCAUUUAAAAAUAACAAAUCAACAACAUUUUUUACUUCAGUUUCUUUUUUAUAUUCUGUAUUCUGUGCUUUAAAAGCUCUUUGUUUCUCUUUGUUUCUUGUUUUUCUGUGAAAAUGAUUCAGUGUGACUUUCCCCUGUCCUCACUAUAGGUCUGUUACUAGCUCCCUUGUUUAUAAAAUAACUAUGAUCAUUUUAUUUAUUAUAUUGCGUAAAAAGAUUGUACCACUGUUUCAACUUGCUGAUGAAAUGGAAUUUUAAGGUUUGAUACAGUAAUAUCAAUUUAUUUAUGUAACUGGAUCACUGUUUUAUAAACUUGUUAAUGAUUCAUUUUCUUUUGAUUAAAAUUUUGAGAGGAUACGGUCACUUUGUUUUUCUUUAAAACAAAAGAAGCCCGUGGUUUAUCA
ensembl:lncRNA